rnacentral:rRNA from 1 species
UACGUAGGGGGCUAGCGUUGUCCGGAAUCAUUGGGCGUAAAGCGCGUGUAGGCGGUCCGGUAAGUCCGCUGUGAAAGUCAGGGGCUCAACCCUCGAAUGCCGGUGGAUACUGUCGGGCUAGAGUGCGGAAGAGGCGAGUGGAAUUCCUGGUGUAGCGGUGAAAUGCGCAGAUAUCAGGAGGAACACCAAUUGCGAAGGCAGCUCGCUGGGACGUAACUGACGCUGAGGAGCGAAAGCGUGGGGAGCGAACAGG